rfam:Leptosomus discolor contig38019, whole genome shotgun sequence.
ACAAAGGUUUUUUUCCCGUGUAACCAGCAACAUGAAAACCACAAACAUACUUUCAUUAAAAAAAU